UGGGGAAUCUUCCGCAAUGGACGAAAGUCUGACGGAGCAACGCCGCGUGAGUGAUGACGGCCUUCGGGUUGUAAAGCUCUGUUAAUCGGGACGAAUGGUUCUUGUGCGAAUAGUGCGAGGAUUUGACGGUACCGGAAUAGAAAGCCACGGCUAACUACGUGCCAGCAGCCGCGGUAAUACGUAGGUGGCAAGCGUUGUCCGGAAUUAUUGGGCGUAAAGCGCGCGCAGGCGGAUUGGUCAGUCUGUCUUAAAAGUUCGGGGCUUAACCCCGUGAUGGGAUGGAAACUGCCAAUCUAGAGUAUCGGAGAGGAAAGUGGAAUUCCUAGUGUAGCGGUGAAAUGCGUAGAUAUUAGGAAGAACACCAGUGGCGAAGGCGACUUUCUGGACGAAAACUGACGCUGAGGCGCGAAAGCCAGGGGAGCGAACGGGAUUAGAUACCCCGGUAGUCCUGGCCGUAAACGAUGGGUACUAGGUGUAGGAGGUAUCGACCCCUUCUGUGCCGGNNNUAACGCAAUAAGUACCCCGCCUGGGGAGUACGACCGCAAGGUUG
rnacentral:rRNA from 1 species